GCAAUCACAGGAAAGCUCCGUCAUUCUCGAUCCAAAUCUCCUUCAGUUUCAUUGCUAGGGUCUUUGAAGUUGACUACCUCAAUUAAAAAAUAGACGAAGAGGCACAAUCUCCUUCCCCCGAUUGUACCCCUCGUAAUCCAUAGCCGACGACUCUCAACGACGAAGCAAGAUGAGAGCUUCUCUCGAGCUGCCAAGAAGCGAAGAUCCACUAACAAUCAGCAAGGUCAACCCGGUGGGGAGGUUACUCAGUGAAUGUAAUGGGCAUUACACACUUAACCUCGCAAGCGCUCCACUCUUUGACGUGAGGCAACAUCUAGGGUAUUUGAGAAUACAAUGAAAUGUGCGGAACAUUUGUGUUUUGAGCGUUUAGUGAAGUUUUGGAUUGUGCUAGAUUGUAAUGGUAGCUUUGUGUGUGGUAAUUGUUGACACUUGUGGCCUACACAACCAACACCGUAUUUUGGUGAUUUUGAAUCCAUAUUUCGAUUGGAAUUUCAAUAUGGCAGUGGUCAA